CCACUGCCGUCAGCGUUUAUGUGUUCGUCAGGGACCCAGAGCAGCCCUUCCUCCAGAGAGGCAGCGACAUGGAGAUCAUUUUCAUCAACCACUUCUCCACCCACGUCAUAGUGCCAUGCCUGGUCACGGUGCCCGAUCUGAACGUCACUCUCCAUGCGUAUCCCACGCCUCUGGAAACUGACAAGAUGACAUGGGACAACAAGCGAGGUUGGUCCAUUCCCAGAAACGUCAUGGCCAGUGUGCCAAUGCUCAUCGGAGUUUUGUGUUGGGCAACACUAGGAGGCAAAGACUAUCAAUCUCCUAGCUACAUUUUCCACACAACAGGUACAAAAAACAUAAUGUCUCCAAAGGUUAAAAUUGAUCAUCUCAUCUUGUGUUUCAGCAAAAACAUUAACGACCACACACACCUUAGCUUAGGCAGCUACAAAAGCAAACCUGACCCAGUACAAAUAUUUUAAUGAGAUUUGAAGCUGUACUUUUGUUGAAACAGAAAUUAGAAAGGAAAUCAAAGGUGGUGCCAGGCUGACUGCACUGUCAACAUUAUUUUUACAUGGCAGCCAAUUAAGCCUUAAUGCUGACAAUUUGAUGGAUUUAAUUUCAUAAUAUUGUUUCCUCCAAAAUAAAUACAAAUCCCUUUUUAAUGCAAGGACGUGUGCCAUUAUGUCAGCAGAAUUAAAAGAGAUGAAGAGGAAGAGAAUGGGAGGCUUAAUUAAAUUGUAGGGAACUAAGAUGAAGAGAUUUCAUGACGAGGAUCACUCUCAUCGCGAAUGAACUCUGAGGGACCCAGAGGCUCUUUUUUAUGUCGUGUGAGAUCAUUCACCUCUCACUGCAGAGGGUGAAAGGAAACUCAUACCCACCGCUGCUGGGCCAAAAGUAACAUCAGCAUCAGUCAGAGGAGAAACUGAGAGCGAGUCUUCGCUUCGAACGCUAAUGGAGCAUUUAAACAAUCAGGCAAUCACAGUCUGCUGCAGAGACAUCACCAGCAUACUUGUUUUUUUACACCCCAUGUUAUUUCUAGAGACUGCAGAGAGAGGUGGCUUGAAUAUC